UAUCGAGCAAGAAGUACAACUUACACGUGAGCGAGCUCGUGCGCGAUGGUAAAGGCACUACUGAGCCCUGUAACCUCCACGAUGGAGCAGCUGCGAGACGGGUUGCAGACCGUGCCGAGCUCUGCAAGACCUGAAGAAGCUUCGCAACGAGCUGGCAGCGUUCGACGUGAUUUCCAGCUCCGGCUAAGAAGUCAUUAGGUGAACAGAAACGUUAAACCGACGCAAUAAUAAACUCAUGGGACUGGUUCGUGGUUCUAAGCUCGUCAAACGCUAAGUAAAACCAACGCAAAAGCCAUGAAAAUUGAAAGAUAGUAACAUUGGAACGUGACAAAAACGCGCUAAAACAACGAAAUGAUCAAAUGAUAAAAGAGCUGACGCUAAUACCUCUAUCUCGAGUAACUAGUGGAAGAAAGGAGACUGAAAAGGCUCCAACCAGUCGAGUUGACUAAGGAUACUUUCUUUAAACUACAGUUCAAACUCUACAGGAUGACCCCAAGUUCCCUCCUCUACUUGUUUGCAGAUCAAGGCUACAAACGACUCAUCUUGUGAGAGUCUUUUCUGUAUUUCAUAUUUGAGGGCGUUUUUUUAUGAAAAAAACUUCACAAAGAAGAACAGACCUCUGAAUAGUUUAUAUAAGGCGAGCAAAAUCGUUCUGAAUUAUAAAACUUCAAAGUAGAGAACCGAAUAUUUGGGACCCUGUACACACCCAUAGUGAGGACACAGAAAGCGGGCAAUGCUGGACAACUUUGACAAAUCAGAAUCGUCUUGAACACCGUAAACAAUUAAAAAUAAAGUUCAGCCAAUGAGAAACGCCGGACGUUGUUUAUUUGACCUCGUACUUGUAGUCGACCAUUUUUGUCUGUCGAUUUAGCGUGGGAACACCCUAACCUGAUUGGCUGGAACUCAAGCCGAAUCUGAUUGGUCAAAGUUUCAGCAUGGCCCGCUUUCUGUUUCCUCACUGUAACAUCUGCUAGACCAAGAACAAAAUGUUAAGUGUGACAUUAUACAUUUGAGUUUAUGGAUCGCAGGUGCCACGGAGUUGCCCUAACCAUAGAAGUCAUAUUGGUGUAUUGAGAAUUACGCAGCAUCGGCGUUCGAUCGAUGCAGAUAACUGAUAGUGUAUAAUACCCGUAUUGUGUGUGAGGCGGUUUGUGUGCGAAAUUUGGCUUACAAGGUCUAUCUUCUGCACUCGUGUUGUGUGUGAGGUGGUUUCUGUGUAAUAUAUGGCUUACAAGGUCUAUCUCCAGUAUGAUAAUCUUGACAAGCACGAUGUUGAUGGAAUUCCCGAUUGUCUUGUCCCGGUAGAUGCGCGCAACCUAUAAUCAGUCAAAGCGGUCAUCAGAGUCAACAAAACAAAAACACUCGUGAGAGAUCUAGAAAACAAAACGACAGAUUGGCAUCACCGGGAUAACACCAUGACUUGGCACUAUGUGAUCUCGAUCCUAAUGGUCAUUCAGUCCUUUAUUUGUGUUUUAGAACUCAACGGGACUAGCCUGCUAGCCGGCUCUCCAGAGUUUCGGGAUUCCUGUGGAGAACCGGCUAGCAGGCUACAAGGGGACAAUCAAUAUAUUCCUUUCUACCCAGUGUCCUUAGCGAACGAAGCCUUGUACUACCUCAACCGUUCUUAUGCCCCGCCCACUUUUCUGUCUCCUUUUUAAUAGACGAUAAAAAUAAAUAAAAUGAUGUAAAUAUAACUGAUAAAAAUAAAGAAAUAUAUAAUAGGGCGAAACAA